rnacentral:rRNA from 1 species
AACGAACGCUGGCGGCAGGCUUAACACAUGCAAGUCGAGCGCCCCGCAAGGGGAGCGGAAGACGGGUGAGUAACGCGUGGGAAUCUACCCAUCUCUACGGAAUAACGCAUGGAAACGUGUGCUAAUACCGUAUACGUCCUUCGGGAGAAAGAUUUAUCGGAGAUGGAUGAGCCCGCGUUGGAUUAGCUAGUUGGUGGGGUAAAGGCCUACCAAGGCGACGAUCUAUAGCUGGUCUGAGAGGAUGAUCAGCCACACUGGGACUGAGACACGGCCCAGACUCCUACGGGAGGCAGCAGUGGGGAAUAUUGGACAAUGGGCGCAAGCCUGAUCCAGCCAUGCCGCGAGAGUGAUGAAGGCCCUAGGGUUGUAAAGCUCUUUCACCGGUGAAGAUAAUGACGGUAACCGGAGAAGAAGCCCCGGCUAACUUCGUGCCAGCCGCCGCCGUAACAC